rnacentral:rRNA from 1 species
UACGGGGGGAGCAAGCGUUGUUCGGAUUUACUGGGCGUAAAGGGCGCGUAGGCGGCCACCGCAAGUCAGUUGUGAAAUCUCUGGGCUUAACCCAGAAAGGUCAACUGAUACUGUGCGACUAGAGUGCGGAAGGGGCAACUGGAAUUCUCGGUGUAGCGGUGAAAUGCGUAGAUAUCGAGAGGAACACCUGCGGCGAAGGCGGGUUGCUGGGCCGACACUGACGCUGAUGCGCGAAAGCCAGGGGAGCAAACGGG